AGUGUCAGUGUCAACGUCAAAGAGAGGUGUGUGUUGAGGUUAUAAUUUCAUUAAAUUCUAUUAAAUGAAAAAAUAAUUUCAAAAUAUCACAACUGUAAAAUUUAGAAGGAAAGAUGCAAAGAAUUUUCUCCUUAGUGAAAACGAUAUCAGCUGCUAGGAUUGGUCCUGCAACUUAUACGCAGAUACCGAUUCUGUCUACCUUUCAGCAAUUUGCGAGGGAACGAUUACUACAACCAGCACUGCCUAUAGUUAAUCCAGUUUGUGGUUUUAAAGUAAAGGGUCGCGUGCGUCGUCGUUGCAAAUCAUGCUAUUUUGUUGUGAGAGAUGAAAGGUUGUAUGUUAUUUGCCCAAAAUCUCCCCGUCACAAACAGAUGGCAAUGAAACCCAAACCAUUAAAUACUUAUAUUUUAACACAUGCUAGCCAGAGUCCUGUUCGACCAUGGUGAUGUUUAAAUUUAUAUGAUAAUGUGGUAGUAAGAUAUAGAAGUUGUAAUGUAUUAAACUAAUUUUAGUUUCA